UUCGCUUUAAUAAUAUUAAAUGUGUUAUCAGUUUAAUAUUGGAUACAUCCUCUGAGGACUAUAUAUUAAAUGGAUUUUUGGAACAGGCGCUUGCUCCAGCCACUCCACGCAUCGACCUGGUAUUGCAGUACCUCCAGGAAUGGUGCACCUCCC
ensembl:snRNA U2 U2 spliceosomal RNA